GCUAGUGUGGCAUAGCUGUUUGUUGGUUGGACCAUGACUCUGAAGACCAGGGUUCGAUUCCCAGCUCGAGCA